GCUGAGAAAGAUUGAAGGCAGGAGGAGAAGGGGAUGACAGAGGACGAGAUGAAUACAUUCCUAGUUUGCAAAACCACUGAUGGAUAAGUCAACUAUCAAGCAAUAACCAGAAACAAACCCCACAUACAUUUGUAAAACAAGGAAUGUGCUUGUAUAAAUAACAAGUUUCUAUUAUAUAGCCCAGGAAACUAUAUUCUAUACCUUGUAAUAACCUAUGAUGGAAAAGAAUCUGAAAAAAAGUAUAUAUAACUGAGUUACUUUGCUGUACACCAGAAACGAAUACAACAUUGUAAAUCAACCUUACUUUAGCUUUUUAAAAUGUGCUUCUAAAUAACAUAUGGAUUAAAAAAGAGAUCUAUUGAAAACUAGACCAUGUUUCAUAUUGAAUAAUCAUGAAAAUACUAUAUACCAAAACUCAUGGGUUGCUACCAAAAUGUAACUAAAAGGAACACUGACAGCUUUAAGAAAAGACUAAGCAAUGAACAUUAAUGAGCUAGAAAGAAUCUAGCUCAAGGAGUUAGCAAAAAUGAAUGAAUCAAUGAAUAAAUGAGUAAAUGAAUGAAA